CUACGGGAGGCAGCAGUGGGGAAUAUUGCACAAUGGGGGAAACCCUGAUGCAGCGACGCCGCGUGAGUGAGGAAAUAUUUCGGUAUGUAAAGCUCUAUCAGCAGGGAAGAAAAUGACGGUACCUGACUAAGAAGCCCCGGCUAACUACGUGCCAGCAGCCGCGGUAAUACGUAGGGGGCAAGCGUUAUUCGGAUUUACUGGGUGUAAAGGGAGCGUAGACGGAAUAGAAAGUCUGCUGUGAAAA
rnacentral:rRNA from 1 species